rnacentral:lncRNA from 1 species
AGCAACAAGGGAUAACCUUGAGUACGAGGUACUCAGCAAGGCUUACCGGACCAACCAAUAUAAUAGCUUUUCUGGGACUACAUGAUGGCUGUUUAGUGUACUGGCUGACUCACCUUUUGCCAAAAAGAGCUUACUAAAAGUGAAACCUUAACUUUGUCUUUUAAUUCAAUUGAGUUAUUACCUAACCAGUCUAGAUGAUGAAAAAGAGAUACUUUUGCAAACAGUAG